GUGGUAUUAACGUGACGUCAAUUUAAUCAAUGUUGUCUGGUUUGAAUUAGACGUUCAUAGACUUAUAAACUGUAUGCAGUUUUUUUCUCGGCUUUAUCUAAACUCGAUUUGUCGUCAACUAUUUUCCCUACAUUAGUAUCAGAUUUGGACCGUGGACCUUAUACUCAUUGAAAUCAUGUUAUUGAUAUGAUAAACCAUCAAAGAGCCUAUGAGAGGAUUUCAAUUGAGUGUGCACCUCAAGUGGGGGACGCUGAUACAGUGAUGCGUAGCCCGGGAGGCGAUGGUUCGGCGGCUUCGAGUCACAGAUCUCGCGUAUACGGCCUACCGACGAUACGAUUUUAUACGCUUGGAAAUAGAUCGUUAGAUUGUUAGUUGCUUAGAAAUCUUCAAUUGUUUUUUACAACGGGAUGACUUACGAAACGCGUACAGUUGUAUUCUUACAUUGACGUACAUGAAAAUCGUAAUUUAUGAUAACAUUGUUUAUGUGUAGUUAUGCAUAUUGAUGACACAACAAAUCGCAUUGCACAGUCGACAACAACAGAAAAUACGACGAUGUUAAUUUUAAGAUCGUUUUUAGAUUUUGAGUGGAGCGAAGAAGCUUACGGUUUUACAAAGUUGAUUUUAUUUUUUUUUCUCUGGACAACUUUUCUACCAGAAUUCUUGACAGAAUCCAUGACAUACAAGGUGGACAUACAAUAUUUUAAUGGGUACACUCAUUAUAGAACAUUUAAGAACAUUUAAGAAACAAGUAGCUCUACAAUAAUUUUAUAUUAAUAUUAUUUUUUGCCACCCUUUUUUGGGGGGGCAAAAGGACCACCUAAUUUUGAUUUUCAAAUAACAAUCAAAAUUAAAAAUUCCAUAAAUGAAUGGAGUCUUAGUUUAACUAAAUUUUAGUGUUGACAUUUUUGAUUUCCGUCAAUCCGUUGAUGACAUAUUCCAGUUUUAUGUUUUGGUUGGAGGAGAGUAGUGGAAUAUCAUUCAUGUGGCGGCAUGACGCGUGGCGUGUUAAUAAUGUACCUAAUGUUGA